rnacentral:lncRNA from 1 species
AGCGCGCGGAGAGGCGGCGUGGAGUUAGGUCUAGCGGGGAGGCGACGGCGGCGGCUGAGGCGGUUCCCACCGGCAGCGGCGGCGUUCGAGGCGGUGCCGGAGAAGCUAGAAGCUGUCGCAGCGGCUUCUCCAAUCGUCGCAUUCCCCUUUACGGCUCUACCCCCACCACACUCUCACCCCGCGGCUGCUUGUUGCUGCGGUUCCGACCAGCGGCGGCGGCGGCGGCGGCUGUCUCUAUCCUCGGCGGCGGCUUCUAGCUCCAUUCCCGGCGUCGAGACUUUUGUGUUCUGUGUGUUCUUUUUCAAGGAUGCCUGA